rnacentral:rRNA from 1 species
AUUGAACGCUGGCGGCAGGCCUAACACAUGCAAGUCGAACGAGUGGCGGACGGGUGAGUAAUGUCUGGGAAACUGCCCGAUGGAGGGGGAUAACUACUGGAAACGGUAGCUAAUACCGCAUACCAUCGGAUUUGCCCAGUUGGGAUUAGCUUGUAGGUGAGGUAACGGCUCACCUAGGCGACGAUCCCUAGCUGGUCUGAGAGGAUGACCAGCAACACGGGAAGUGAGACACGGACCAGACGCCUACGGGAGGCAGCAGUGGGGAAUAUUGCACGAUGGGCGCAAGCCUGAUGCAGCCAGGCCGCGUGUAUGAAGAAGGCGUUCGGGUUGGAAAGUACUUUCAGCGGGGAGGCGUUACCCGCAGAAGAAGCACCGGCUAACGCCGUGCCAGCAGCCGAGGUAAUAC